ACGAGAUGAAAUUAACGUUUGGACAUGUGAUUUUACGCUGAUUUCAUAUCAUGA
rnacentral:pre_miRNA from 1 species